CCGACUCUAUAGUCAACACAAUACAGUUGCCGCACCCUGUCCGCGACCACGUCCCUCAUAUUGAUUGCUCGGAGAGCGGCGGAAAGGAAGCUUGAGAAAGGCGUCCGUCUUGCGUUAGAGAUCAAUUUACGACCUUACGACAUCAUGCGCCACAGCAGCGUCAUCGUUUUCAUUGCAGUUUGUGCUUCGGCAAUACCGUCCAGUAGAAGCCAGGACUUCAGCUCAUGUCGAAACCUUUCCACGGACAUCACAGGGUGUUCAACGGAGUUCCUACAAGGAAUAUCUACGAAUGGACUUUUCACAGACUUCACCAAAGGCUUUAAUUUGACAUCUGCCAUAUCAGGUUCCUUCUGCCAGU